GGAUUAGAUACCCUGGUAGUCCACGCUGUAAACGAUGAGAACUAGACGUUGGGCAGGUAACUGUUCGGUGUCGCAGCUAACGCACUAAGUUCUCCGCCUGGGGAGUACGGCCGCAAGGUUGAAACUCAAAGGAAUUGACGGGGGCCCGCACAAGCGGUGGAGCAUGUGGUUUAAUUCGAUGCAACGCGAAGCACCUUACCUACCCUUGACAUCUGUGGAAUUGGGAAGAGAUUUCCAAGUGCCUUCGGGAACCGCAAGACAGGUGCUGCAUGGCUGUCGUCAGCUCGUGUUG
rnacentral:rRNA from 1 species